ensembl:lncRNA
GUGGCUUUCAGCAGAACACCUUAUCUGCUCUCGAGAGCUGUGACUCUUCAUCCUUUCCUUAUGAAGACCCAGGGGAUUGCUUACUUAGCAUCCACCAGAGGCAAUGGAUAGGGUGAGCAGUCACUGCAGCCAGAAAAGCCCAGCACGGAGCAAAGGCAAUUACCUCCGCACGCAGAGACUUUGGAGCUGAAUUGUGCUGAACGGAGAACCCCUCCGGCUGGCAGAGCCAUGUGCGGCCGAGAAGAGCAGCCACUUUCGCUCCGCUGAAAAGCAAUGCAGGAACCCUCGUGGUGUACGGUGCUGCUGGGUGCAAUCAUUAAGGCAAUGAGCAAACGCUCUCCACUUGUUGUCCAACUUUGAAGACGGGCAGAUCUACAAGGCAGGUCCCCAGAAGCUCUGUUCCUAAAGCAGAAGUGCAAUAGUGCUCAAGGAGGAUUAAAGGACUAGGAUCGAGUACUUCCUAAAUACUGCUGCCUGCCCCUGUUCUAAACAACAGCUCAAAAAUAACAUACUUGCCUCUUCCGAGGGCUGUUCAAGAAGUAUAGCCCUGGCAAGGCUAAGCCCCUGGGGUCCUAUUCACAAAUACUCAUGGCAGCCAGCGAGGGAAGGAUUCCAAGUCAGGAGGAACAUCAUAUCCCUGGUGUGUCAGUCAGUACUUUGUUCAGAGGGAAAGACGACGAAGCAAGACAGAAGGCUGCUGAAAACACAGAUGCUCACAUUUCUCCCACUAGAAACAGAACAAGAAUUUAUUUUCUUUUAUCAUAAAUCACAGGUUUUCUCUUAACGCUAUGCUUUAGACCUUCAGUCAGGGCUUAUGGCAGUAUAGAACCGCAUGCUCAAGUAAAUAUAAACUAUCUGGUGGAAAUGUCUUUCCUUAUUUCUCUUUCUACUGCUGCCCCAUCUGAUUGAUUUGUUGAUUACUGGAGAAUUUGCUGCAUCACACCUUUAGUUUAGUUUAAGCUAUAAACUGGCCAGAAGUAAGCUGAUGUCCCCCAUUCAAUAUUGUUUUUCUGCACUGAUAUUCAAGCCCCCAUUGUCUCUGCCAGCAUCACCAACCUAUCUAUCACUUCUUACCAAAUGACCACACCACACCAUAUGUUGCAGAAUUAUUUUGGAUUUUCACCAGCUUAGUUUAAAAAUCAGUCCUCGAUCUGAGCAUGAUCCAGCCAAGAGGAGGAAAAACUAAUAGAUAUGAUAUCAUUUUUUCUACCUUCCUUGAAGGCACUAAGUAUUUGUCACACAGAGCCUUGCCAUAUUGAUCCCUUUACCUUCACUAUGAAGAUGGAUCGUGCUGUGUGUGGGUCUGCCCGAGUCAUUUUGUGAACCUUGUGCUUCUUUAUGGGGGAAAUUGGGGAAAAUAAUAUGUCAUAUCAAUGUGGCGUAUCAAUUACACACGAUAGUGCAAAGAAAGGCCUAUAAAGGAGAGGUAUCAUGGAGUCAGAACAAAGGUGAGAUUAUACACAUUUACCAAGUGGCCCAUUUACUGUGAGGUUUCUAGAGAGGUUCAGAAAGAACUGGUAUUAGGCUGGGAAGGGAAAUCACUCCAAGCUGGCAACUUGUCAGGAAAGUAUCUGCCAUUACAUGAGGCUCAAAUAAUGACAAAUCAUAACAAAUCAUUCAAAGUCAUGAAACUCGGGAACUCCGUUCACUUCUCAUGGGCUGUGUCUGUUCACCACAUGAAAGAUGACUAACACAUUCUCUCCCAAUUCAGACUCUGUCACACCAUUACAAUGCUUGGGAUUCUCUGUGUUUGCCACGGGGAUUUUCUGGAAAGAAGCAGAUUCUCCAGUUCAGAAAACAACUGAUGCCACUUCAUAUCAUUUUUAUCAUUGAGCCACAUCUCAGAAAUGACCUUUUUAAGAGUUGUCUGAAGAAUGGGAACAGGUUGGUACUCACAUUCUAGCAAGUAGAAAGAAAAAUCUAACCCAGAAUGCUCCUAGCAUCCUACUUUGGGUCUUGAUUCCAAAUCAGCAGACAGCAAUGAGGAGACUGGAUCAGAACUCAGCAGACUUCCAUUUAAGGCAGAUAAGAAUGCUGUUAGUAAUCAACAACUACUUACAUUUGCAAAACUUAUCCUUUUGUGGAGCAAAAGAUAAAAAGGAGCACAAACAAACCUGACCUUGCAAUCACUCACCUUUGUGAGCAAUCUUCUCUUUUGCAAAUAGGCUGCCUCUCAUCAGUGCCUUUAUUUGCUUAAGUCCUUGCAGAUACAUUAAAGAUUUAUAGUAGAGCUGUUACAGGCAAUGAAGGAAGUUAUAUGUCACCCUUUUGUUUUCUAAUAGUGGUUUGAUUUAAACUAUGGGGAACAAAGGAAGUAAUAUUUUAAAACAGGAAUGAAAACAUAAUGCAGCCACAAAUAAAGUCUGGUCAUACAUGGAACUUAAGCAGAUAAAAUGACUUUUGUCAUGAAGAAACACUGUGCCUCAGUAGUAUUUCGUAUCAGUGCUUCCCAGACUAGGAUUGGUUUAAACUGUCCUUAAGACACCCUCAGAUCUCCAAAUGUAGCUGGAGCAAACCAGAAAAUGGGUAAAAUAACAAGCAUCUCUGAACAAAAUGGAAACAAACAAAACCAGUAAAUUAAGAUUUGGAAAGGAAAUGAAAGCAGCAUAUCCUCCGCAAAGUUUAUUUAAGCAGCAUUCAGUACGAAAGCUUUUAUUACCUUUAAUCUGAGAGGAAAAUAAGCAAUGG